rnacentral:misc_RNA from 1 species
GAAAUGCGAUAAGUAAUGUGAAUUGCAGAAUUCAGUGAAUCAUCGAAUCUUUGAACGCACAUUGCGCCCAUUAGUAUUCUAGUGGGCAUGCCUGUUCGAGCGUCAUUUCAACCCUCAAGCCCCAGUUGCUUGGUGUUGGGAGCCUGCCCCUCUAGGGGGGCAGCUCCUUAAAGCUAUUGGCGGAGUCGUAUUGGCCCUAAGCGUAGUAAUUUUUUCUCGCUUCUAGUGGUUCCAGUGCUGGCGUCCAGCCGUAAAACCCUUAAUUUUCUAGUGGUUGACCUCGGAUCAGGUAGGAAUACCCGCUGAACUUAA